rnacentral:rRNA from 1 species
GUGUCAGCCGCCGCGGUAAUACAGAGGUCCCGAGCGUUGUUCGGAUUCACUGGGCGUAAAGGGUGCGUAGGUGGUGAGGUGUGUCGGAUGUGAAAUCUCGGAGCUCAACUCCGAAACUGCAUUGGAAACUACCUUGCUGGAGGGUUGGAGGGGGGACUGGAAUACUUGGUGUAGCAGUGAAAUGCGUAGAUAUCAAGUGGAACACCAGUGGCGAAGGCGAGUCCCUGGACAACUCCUGACACUGAGGCACGAAAGCUAGGGGAGCAAACAGGAUUAGAAACCCUCGUAGUCC